GACAUUAAGCAGAUGACUCAACCUGGUGUCUGUGGCUGACUGAUGAGGAUCCCACAUGAAAUAGGUUACACAAGGAUAUAGUCUUUCCUACUCCUGCAUUUUCCAGGCAUUAGCAUACAGGAAGACAUCCACAAACGUGUAAAACCUUGGGGAGCAGCUGUACUACUCAGAAGGGCUGGAGAGGAUCUGGGGAUGGGAUCAGCUUGUCUGGAGGUGGUCACAUAAGGGUGAGAACACUCAGAUAAGGCACGGGAGGAAUACAUAGAGUAUGCACAUGCAUAAGAUCUACAUGCCUAAAGAGGCUGCAGCUAUCUCCAGAUAAACCCCCUUCAGAUACCUUUCUUGCAACUCUCCCUCAUCCUGAUUAGACCUCAUCUAAGCACAAGAAGUCCUACUGAAUUUCAUCCUCACCAGAAGGAUCCACACUGGGAGUGAAUGAAGCUCUGCAUACCCAGCCAUAUACCCCCCUUGGCGCUCAAUUCAUCCCCUGUUUUGGACUACUCCAGCUACACCCCUAAAGCUUCAAAGCAAGAGACUGGCUUUAAGUUGUGUGGAAACCACCCAGCAAUGUUACUUGGCCUGAGGUCAGGGAUCAGUCCUGACCCUUUUGUAUUCAGCUUCACUGGUGUACACACACCAACAUAUACUCAGACUGGAAAUUAGAUGCAUAAAUCCCAGGAGCUGGACAGGAUUGUAAGCAAGGGGACCAAUGUGGAAAACAAUCAUAAUGAUUACACAUUACACAUGAGAAAGGUAGAAUCACUUUAAAUGAUCAAUAACAAGGAAUGUGUGGAUAUGCCACUGAGGGAUAUGGUUAGUGGGCAUGGUGGGCAUGGGUUGUUGAUUGGACUAGAUGAUCUUAGAGGUCCUUUCCAACCUUAACAGUUCUAUGAUUCUAUGCUUCUAAUAUUUCAUCAGUAACUUUAAUAGCUUGAAUAUUGACUGAGAUAUCUUGGAGAUCCUGACACAUCUCCCUCUAGCAAGAUGAGGAUCCCUGUGCCUUACAUCCUGGCAUCCCAAAUCACUUUAUAGAUACAAAAUGACUUAAAAAGUGAUUCUUACUAUCUGCUUUGCACAAAUGGUAGAAGAAAGGGUAGAGAGACUCAGAGAGUCACUCAGUAAGUAAAUGAAUGUCCUACAUGGAAUUAGUAAACAAUCUUACAAGUAGAAAUUCCUUUAAAAUUUACAAUGAUGCCUUUCCCUGUGUGUCUCCUAUGUAGCGUCUGUCUGCAAUUUUACAAAUGUGAAAGCCAGGGUUUCCCAGGAACAAAGCUUGUCAUAGCAACGAAACAGCACAUUUCAGAGAAUAAAACACACUGCUCACUUCCUAAACACCCCACCAUGUUGCAGAGUAUUAUCCACAAGCCCUGCUCCUCUAGACUGCCAGGAAAGACCUGGCAGAACAAUGGCCACUACAGGCCACUACACCUUGAGAACCCUUCCAUGUAAUCAUAAUGGGGAUGAAUGUUUCUCUUCUGCCUGGCCCCACUGCAUGCAGCUGCUGCUCACAGUCAUGCCCAGCUCCCAGCCCCUUAUUUCUAGACAUAUCAGUACAUACUUGCCUCUUUUUUCUCCAGAAAAUAAAUAAAAUAAAAUAAAAUAAAAUAAAA
ensembl:lncRNA